rnacentral:antisense_RNA from 1 species
UAGGCUUGUAGCGUGCGCUGACAGAGCACGGAGCGCACGCAGUCGUCCGUCGUAAAACGCACUACGCCAAUCAUCUCAUCUUCUUCAAAACGUGCCAACGCAUCGCUCAACCCUGACUUAACGUGCGACGGCAGGUCGCACUGGGUGAUAUCGCCAUUAACGAUGACCGUCACGUUCUCCCCGAGGCGCGU